rnacentral:rRNA from 1 species
GAUGAACGCUGGCGGCGUGCCUAAUACAUGCAAGUCGAGCGAACGGACGAGAAGCUUUUUUCUCUGCUGUUAGCGGCGGACGGGCGAGUAACACGUGGAUAACCUACCUAUAAGACUUGGAUAACUUCGUGAAACCGGAGCUAAUACCGGCUGAUAUUUUGAACCGCAUGGUUCAAAAGUUAAAGACGGUCUUGCUGUCACUUAUAGAUGGAUCCGCGCUGCAUUAGCUAGUUGGUAAGGUAACGGCUUACCAAGGCAACGAUGCAUAGCCGACCUGAGAGGGUGAUCGGCCACACUGGAACUGAGACACGGUCCAGACUCCUGCGGGAGGCAGCAGUAGGGAAUAUUCCGCAAUGGGCGAAAGCCUGACGGAGCAACGCCGCGUGAGUGAUGAAGGUCUUCGGAUCGUAAAACUCUGUUAUUAGGGAAGAACAUAUGUGUAAGUAACUGUGCACAUCUUGACGGUACCUAAUCAGAAAGCCACGGCUAACUACGUG